rnacentral:misc_RNA from 1 species
GGACUACUAGGGUUUCUAAUCCCGUUUGCUACCCUAGCUUUCGCGUCUGAGCGUCAGAAACGAUCCAGAAAAUCGCCUUCGCCACUGGUGUUCCUCCCGAUAUCUACGCAUUUCACCACUACACCGGGAAUUCCAUUUUCCUCUAUCGCUCUCUAGUCUGGUAGUUUUGGACGACCUCUCCCAGUUGAGCCGGGAGCUUUCACGCCCAACUUACCAAACCGCCUGCACGCGCUUUACGCCCAGUGAAUCCGGAUAACGCUCGCCUCCUACGUUUUACCGCGGCGGCUGGCACU